rnacentral:rRNA from 1 species
CGCGUAGGUGGUUUGUUAAGCGAGAUGUGAAAGCCCCGGGCUUAACCUGGGAACGGCAUUUCGAACUGGCAGGCUAGAGUGUGGUAGAGGGUAGUGGAAUUUCCUGUGUAGCGGUGAAAUGCGUAGAUAUAGGAAGGAACACCAGUGGCGAAGGCGACUCUCUGGCCUGAUACUGACGCUGAGGUGCGAAAGCGUGGGGAGCGAACG